CACGUAGGGCGCAAGCGUUGUCCGGAAUUAUUGGGCGUAACGAGCUCGUCGGCGGUCUGUUGCGUCCGCUGUGAAAACUCGGGGCUUAACCCCGAGCCUGCAGUGGAUACGGGCAGACUAGAGGUAGGUAGGGGAGAAUGGAAUUCAUGGUGUAGCAGUGAAAUGCGUAGAGAUCAUGAGGAAGACCAGUGGCGAAGGCGGGUCUCUGGACAGUUCCUGACACUGAGGCACGAAGGCCAGGGGAGCAAACGGG
rnacentral:rRNA from 1 species